CUGAGUGAGGUUACCCAGUGGCUGAAGUGUCCCGUCAGAAUCGAAAAAUGGUUCUCAUCGCUCCUCAUGCAGUUUUGAACUUGCGUCCCGUUCCUGAGGCUCAACACCUAGAAUGCAGUCCUCAUGACCAGUAGCCGUCAUCUUCCUGGUGAGCUGGAAAGCUGAAGGCAAAGGGCGUGUAGCCAUUGAUGCCGCUAUUCACACUGGCCUGGGUCCUGCUGAGGAGCACUUUGCUGAUGUUCUGGCUCCAGGAAGAGAUGAACAGUUAACCCGGGUUUACUUGCUGCCACAAAAGCAUCUUUCAUCCUACAAGACUCCAGAUUGAAGGGAAGAUUUCACUACAUACCGGCCAGAGACAAGAAGCUCUGUUGAAGUUACUGGCCACCCCCACUCCUACCCACUUCUGAGGAUUCCACUGUAACCCAGAAAUCUAGGGGGACAGGCACACAGAGUGUAACAGCGUGAAUGCUACUAUGUUUAACGAUGGAGAAGUGGGACAUUCUGAUUUGACUGGGGUUGGCCCUGAAAGAUCAGGCUGUCACCUGCACUGAGGGGUGCUUUACAAGGCUGAAUGACUAGAAACUCUCAAGGAGAGGGGCAGCAUUUUGGAAAAGGCGGCUGCAGUCUGAUUAGCAUGAAGAGAAAGGGGAUAGUUGUCUUAACUGAGCCCACCUAAGCAUUAGGCACUUGACAACUGUGAGGAGAAAGGAACACUCAGUGACAGUCACAUAAGGCAGCAGUGGAGCACCUUCCCCUCCCCCUCUGCCUCCUGCAGCCCUCCUGGAUUGGGUCGUGCCUACCCAGAGCACACUCUGGAGUAUAUGGACGUAGAAGGGUGCUUCUUGCCAUUCAACGUCUCUUAAGGCAGCUACAGUAAUGACAAACCUCAAAACUUGGUGUUUUCACCUCUAACCAAAGUCGAAAUAGCUGGUGUCCACAAUCCAGUGUCACUCCAAAUGAAACCAAAUCCAGAGGGAGUGACUGGGGGAGAGCACAGUAUCUGGAAUGGCCUUUUGCUCUUUUAUUGACUUUGACAUUUUUAUUAUAUUACCUUUCCCCCAAAUUCUUUUUACAGUACAAAAAAGUAUACACGUGAUUAAAGAACAACAU